GUCAGCAUGGUGUAGUGGUUUGAACACUGGACUAUGACUCUGGAGUUCAAGGUUCAAAUCCUAUGGUCUUUACA